rnacentral:rRNA from 1 species
AUUGAACGCUGGCGGCAUGCCUAACACAUGCAAGUCGAGCGAGCGUCUGACGGGUGAGUAAUGUAUGGGGACUGCCCGAUCUAGGGGGAUAACUACUGGAACCGGUAGAUAAUACAGCAUACUAUCGAAUACCCCAUAUGGGAUUAGCUAGUAGUUGGGGUAAGGGCUCACCUAGGCGACGAUCCCUAGCUGGUCUGAGAGGAGGAUCAGCCAAACGGGGACGGAGACACGGCCCAUACUCCUACGGAGGCAGCAGUGGGGAAUAUUGCACAAUGGGCGCAAGCCGGAUGCAGCCAUGCCGCGUGUAUGAAGAAGGCCUUAGGGUUGUAAAGUACUUUCAGUCGGGAGGCGUUACCGACAGAAGAAGCACCGGCUAACUCCGUGCCAGCAGCCGCGGUAAUUC